CUCUUAUCAAGAGUGGCUGAGGGAACGGGCCCUGAGAAGCCACAGCAACCGGUCUGCCGACGGGCAGAUGCAGGUGCUACUUCCCGCCCUUAACGGGGCAGAUAAGAG
rnacentral:ncRNA from 2 species